AGUGAACGCUGGCGAUAGGCCUAACACAUGCAAGUCGAACGGCAGCACAGUAAGAGCUUGCUCUUACGGGUGGCGAGUGGCGGACGGGUGAGGAAUACAUCGGAAUCUACUUUUUCGUGGGGGAUAACGUAGGGAAACUUACGCUAAUACCGCAUACGACCUACGGGUGAAAGCAGGGGAUCUUCUGACCUUGCGCGAUUGAAUGAGCCGAUGUCGGAUUAGCUAGUUGGCGGGGUAAAGGCCCACCAAGGCGACGAUCCGUAGCUGGUCUGAGAGGAUGAUCAGCCACACUGGAACUGAGAAACGGUCCAGACUCCUACGGGAGGCAGCAGUGGGGAAUAUUGGACAAUGGGCGCAAGCCUGAUCCAGCCAUACCGCGUGGGUGAAGAAGGCCUUCGGGUUGUAAAGCCCUUUUGUUGGGAAAGAAAAGCAGCAGGUUAAUACCCCGCUGUUCUGACGGUACCCAAAGAAUAAGCACCGGCUAACUUCGUG
rnacentral:rRNA from 1 species